ACAGUAGAAGAAGCUGUCCGCACGUGACAAACAGUUCCAAAGUGAGCGCCGAGGAGGAACGUGACGCAAGAGACGGCGCUGCUUCUUUGCACAUGUUCUACAGGGCCGUGCUGAAAGAGCUGGGUCUUGCUGCCUGAGUGUCCAAGAAGAAGAGGGACUGUAAAGAUGUGCCAGGCUGUGGAAAGAACCCGCAGAAAACCCACUGGGACACAAGGAGAGCGACACUUCUGCUACACAAAUUCCAGGCAAACUAGCUGUGGCAGAUUUCUCUAAAGAAAACCUUCAACCUGGAGCUUACGGAGAAUAAUACAACUUCAAUGUGAAAUUACUGGAGAGAAGACUGAAGUGAAGACCUGUCAUGGAAACUUGUCCUAAAUAUAGACCCAGACAAUCUCGAGAAGCAGACGGGAGUACGAAAACACACUGCCACGACAAUCCUGGACAAUUGUUCUCCGGGUUUUUACAAGUUCUGCAGAAGAAGACGCACAACAAAAAAAGAACCCAGACCUGAUUUAAACUUUGGCUGCUGUGGGAAGGGCCUGAACGGCGGGGUGCACACUUCACAGUUUGACUCUGAUGACCAUGGCCGUUCCACCCUCGUCAGUCUUCAGUGCUCUCAGGUGUCCUGAUAGUAGCCUGGAAAAUACCAA